AUUUAAAUAGUUUAUUAAAAAUAUUGAUUUGUGGAAUCAAAGAUGUUAAUAUUAACUUUAAAUU
rnacentral:tRNA from 1 species